rnacentral:rRNA from 1 species
GUAGGUGGCAGCGUUGUCCGGAAUUAUUGGGCGUAAAGCGCGCGCAGGCGGUUCUUUAAGUCUGAUGUGAAAGCCCACGGGCUCAACCGUGGAGGGUCAUUGGAAACUGGAGAACUUGAGUACAGAAGAGGAAAGCGGAAUUCCACGUGUAGCGGUGAAAUGCGUAGAGAUGUGGAGGAACACCAGUGGCGAAGGCGGCUUUCUGGUCUGUAACUGACGCUGAGGCGCGAAAGCGUGGGGAGCAAACAGGAUUAGAUACCCUGGUAGUCCACGCCGUAAACGAUGAGUGCUAAGUGUUAGGGGGUUUCCGCCCCUUAGUGCUGCAGCUAACGCAUUAAGCACUCCGCCUGGGGAGUACGGCCGCAAGGCUG